GGGAGAAGAUGGGGCCAAAUGGAAAAGUUGAAAGGGUGCAGGCAAUGGAAGAGAUGGGUGGAGAGCUCCGUUGGUGUGUAGCAAUUAAAUAUAAAGGUUUUUUCGGGGUUACCCGAAAAUUUAUAAGAAAGAUCGAUAACGCGCAGCUUCGAGAAGUCAUGGUUGGUUUUGGCUCUCCAAUGAUCCCGUUGAAUUGAUUGGAUCGCAACAUGAGGAGCCUCAACUCUGGAAGAGCUCCCGGCCAAGAGGGGAAAACAUCAUUCCGUUGAUUGUGGCCGAGGUCUAUAUUUUCCAGCAUUUGGCUGUUUUCUAAUGAUCUUGGGACUUGACCCUGAAACUGAUUCUGACUGAAGUCGAUUGCCCGUAGAUUGCUUUCGCCAACGAAGGUGUCGGGAAUGCUUCCGUGGAACUUGACAACUUGUUAUCACUUAGUCUCAGAACUUCUAAAGAACUGAAAUUUCCCACACAACUGGGAAGCAAACCACCAAUGGAGUUGCCAGAGAUAUCAAGGUAAACAAGAGAACUCAAGUUGCAGAGUGAAGAUGGAACAUUAUACAUCAGUUUAUUUUUUAUUUGGCUGAUAUAUGGAAGACCCAAAUAUGCAAGUUUUGUCUGGUUACCAACCCAAGAGAGGGUUGGAUCAGUGAAAUAAUUGGAGCGGAGAUGGUAAAAACUUUAACUGAGAGAGGUCUUUGAAGGAAGAAGGAAUUUUGCCACUGAACUUGUUUGAAUGGAGGAUUAGUAUCUUGAGAUGGAUGAGGUUUCCAAGUGAAGGAGGAACAGUCCCUGAAAAGUCGCAUCCUGAUAUAUCAAAAACAGUCAAGGACUAUAGAUUUCCAACUGAAUGAGGCAUCUUACUAGAAAUUCCCGAGUCCUUGGGACAUAGUUCCUCGAGUGAAUUGCUCGAGUUGAAUUCGGGCAAAUACCGGACGAGAUUCAGAUUGAAUGGUAUUUCGAGUAUUUUUAGUUUUGGGAACUGAAAUAUUUUGGCGGGAAAUUGGCCUCGCACCCUGCAAUCUGUCAACCGAAGGGAUUUUAAAGAAGAUAAAUUUGCCAAGAAAUGUGGGACUGUGGAUGAUAUGUCAACCUUACUAAGACUAAGAUGUUCAAGUUUAGUAAGGUUUGCUACAAAGUUUUUGAAGUCCAGAUUCUUAAGUUCCAACAACUCUUCUCCUGAAGCGAUGUCGACAUUUCGAGACAAAUCCAAGACUGACAAGGUGGACAACUUAGAAAUUGCAGCUGGAAUUUGGUCUGAAAAUGUAGAACCAGAGAGGUUGAGAAGCAUCAAAUUUAGAAAUAAGUUGUAUACUUUCACGAACCUCAGAGAAAUUGAAGUUAUUGAGUGCAAGGUCAACCCUCUGAAGAUGAACAAGUUUAAAGAGGCUGCUAUCAGAGUCUAUGGAACCAUAGAGGCAAUUACUGCUGAGGUCAAGGCCGACCACACGACCCGUCUCCUCAUCAAACUCCACGCCACGCCACGCCACGCCACAGACAACAAUUGCCUCUUCUGCCAUCGACUCGUCAAGAAUUGAUCUUCGGAGAAGUGCGAGAACAGUUAGCAGAAACAAAAAACUUCCCUUGAACUGCAAAAGAGCAUUCCUCUCUUCAUCAUGGCACAGUGGAUGAGUAGAAGAAAAGCAAUAGUUAAAGCAAAAAGCAAAGUUGACAGUAAAGCCAGAUAGGAAGCAGCAAGGGAAGAAUAAGAAGAAAGUGAUGAUAUCUUCAUGAUAUUCAUAUCUUUCAGCUAUAACAGAGGGAAUUCCACACUGGGAUGUGCAACAAAAGCCAAAUUGCUUCUGUUCUAUAUAUAGAAAUCAAGAUUUUGAUGUCCAAAAAUGUCAUCCAUGGAGCCCGUUCGCUUGUCGAACUUCAUCGUUCCAGUGACCCGAUUUUUCAGUGCCAUGUGAUUCAAAGAUAUGGAAAAAAAGAGGUACGAAAACAGAGAGCAUUCCAACCCUGAAGAGUUUGAUCAAGCAAAUUAUAACAUCUGUACAUUGUUGGUGAACUUACAAGUCAUGCACAGCAAGAAAAAGAAGUCAAUUGAGACUUGUUGUGGAAGGUUAAUGAUAUUUGUAUUCUAAUAUCUACCACAGAAGUCAAUGGCCAAAUAUUUUGGCUUGGUUAAAUUCUAAGCAGAAUUGACAGGAUUUAGUUGACUGAAUUGAACAAGAAGGUGAAUAAGUCUUAGCAAAAUUA